rnacentral:rRNA from 1 species
UACGUAGGGAGCAAGCGUUGUUCGGAUUUACUGGGCGUAAAGGGCGCGUAGGCGGCGUUGUAAGUCACUUGUGAAAUCUCUGAGCUUAACUCAGAACGGCCAAGUGAUACUGCGGUGCUAGAGUGCAGAAGGGGCAAUCGGAAUUCUUGGUGUAGCGGUGAAAUGCGUAGAUAUCAAGAGGAACACCUGAGGUGAAGACGGGUUGCUGGGCUGACACUGACGCUGACAGCGCGAAAGCCAGGGGAGCAAACGGG